UUUCCGGUUGAUCCCGCCGGACCCUACUGCUAUCGGGGUGGGACUAAGACAUGCGAGUUGAGCGUCUCUAGGCCAUGGUGGAGACGCAGCGUACGGCUCAGUAACACGUGGCUAACCUACCCUUAGGACGGGGGCAACCCCGGGAAACUGGGGCUAAUACCAGAUAGGCAAGGAGGCCUGGAAUGGUUCUUAGUCAAAAAGGCGUUGAAACCAUGCUUUUCGACGUCGCCUAAGGAUGGGGCCGCGUCCGAUCAGGUUGUUGGUGGGGUAAUGGCUCACCAAGCCUAUAACCGGUACGGGCCGUGAGAGCGGGAGCCCGGAGAUGGGCACUGAGACAAGGGCCCAGGCCCUACGGGGCGCAGCAGUCGCGAAAACUCCGCAAUGCACGAAAGUGUGACGGGGCUACCCCGAGUGCCGUCCGCUGAGGAUGGCUUUUCCCCGGUGUAAUGAGCCGGGGGAAUAAGGAGAGGGCAAGACUGGUGUCAGCCGCCGCGGUAAUACCAGCUCUCCGAGUGGUAGGGAUGAUUAUUGGGCUUAAAGCGUCCGUAGCCGGCUUAGCAAGUCUCCUGUUAAAUUCAGCGACUUAAUCGUUGAGCCGCGGGAGAUACUACUGGGCUAGGAGGCGGGAGAGGCCGACGGUAUUCUCGGGGUAGGGGUGAAAUCCUAUAAUCCCGGGAGGACCACCAGUGGCGAAGGCUGUCGGCUAGAACGCGCUCGACGGUGAGGGACGAAAGCUGGGGGAGCGAACCGGAUUAGAUACCCGGGUAGUCCCAGCUGUAAACGAUGCGGGCUAGGUGUUGGGGUGGCUACGAGCCACUUCAGUGCCGCAGGGAAGCCAUUAAGCCCGCCGCCUGGGGAGUACGGCCGCAAGGCUGAAACUUAAAGGAAUUGGCGGGGGAGCACCACAAGGCGUGAAGCUUGCGGUUCAAUUGGAUUCAACGCCGGA
rnacentral:rRNA from 1 species